UCUACGGAGAGUUUGAUCCUGGCUCAGGACGAACGCUGGCGGCGUGCCUAAUACAUGCAAGUCGAGCGAGAAGCCACCGCUCCGUAAGGAGUGGUGGUGGAAAGCGGCGAACGGGUGAGUAACACGUGGGUAAUGUGCCCUGAACUCUGGGAUAACAGCGGGAAACCGCUGCUAAUACCGGAUAACCCUGCAGCGUCGCAUGACGCAGCAGGCAAAGCUCCGGCGGUUUGGGAUCAGCCCGCGGCCUAUCAGCUUGUUGGUGGGGUAACGGCCUACCAAGGCUCUGACGGGUAGCUGGCGUGAGAGCGCGACCAGCCACACUGGGACUGAGACACGGCCCAGACUCCUACGGGAGGCAGCAGUAGGGAAUCUUGCGCAAUGGGCGAAAGCCUGACGCAGCGACGCCGCGUG
rnacentral:rRNA from 1 species